UCUUCCAUUCCCGUGACCUCGCGGAAAGUUCCUGACGUCCGGUGACUCGUUAAGGGCUUUGAAAAUUAGAAAAUUGUACGUUUUCGCUCGAUUUUACGUGACAGGAGUGUGAGAAUGGGCCGAGUGCGUUUAAUUAUGAAUAUAUGUAUAAAUAUUUUCAAAGAACUUGCGAUUCCUAGUUGAUUAUACUUGGGUGUGCCAAAAUGGCGAACACGUACAUCGUGCAGGAGCCAGGGAAAAUGAAACCAGGGAAUAUUCACUUGCUCUUCUUGUUUAAAAAGCUGCUGCCAUCGCGCCACGAAAGAGCGAAGCUUCAGCUACACUUUAUCAGUCAGGCUUAAUCGUUCGAUGCUCUAUUGAAGAGCUUUUUUAUUCGAAGACAACUUCCAAAGUGAUAAUAACUAUUAUCAGCAUGAAGAUAUCAUAAAAUUAAUGAUUAGAAAAGAAAAGGCAAUAUUUUUCACAAUGAUGAAAUUAGAAAGAUGGAAAUCUAAUAAGGAAUACUUUUAUAAAAAAGAAUGAAAUAAACACAGAGAUAAAUAGGGAGCAAAAAUAAUGAAAGCUUAAUAGUCAUCGUUCUCUAAAAUGUCGAGAAGGUUAGAGCUCUCAAAAAGCCACUAUGAAACUGAAAGAAGCCACUAUGAAUUGAAUGAAGACAGAAGUAGGAGGUCGAAAAAGGGAAAGAAAAAGAGAGACGUUAUAGGGAUAACGGAGGACUCAAGGGUGGUUGGCAGAAGUGCAUUCUCUCUUUCGGUGACUCGAGGAAGGAAACGCAGUGAGAAAGAAGGAAAGCGAGGGGGGGAGAGAGAGAGAGAGAGAGUUAGAUAGGUAGAGAGAAAGGAGAACGAAGGUGGGGAGUGCAAGCACUGCGGUAGGGGUUGCCUCUACUGGCGUGGGCGGUGGCUGAUGACGUCACUGAAGAUGCAGCAGGGUGCAGCAAUGCAAGGGGGAUGAAGCGAAUCCAGGCGGAACUGGGCCAGUGGGUCUCCGGCAGCCAUCUGUGAUUCGCUCAACUCCUCCGUUGCGAUCUUCAUCUUUUACCUUGCGAACAUUUCAACGACGGUCGAAACUCACUUUGUUCCACCGUUCUCGCAAUGUGAUAUUCAUCGAAGAACUGUGCGUGGAAUUGUGAUCAACCAACAAGUGCGGAUACCGAUUGAUUUUCUUCAAUAAAAAAUCAUUUUCCCCAUA